rnacentral:misc_RNA from 1 species
GAUGAAGAACGCAGCGAAAUGCGAUAAGUAGUGUGAAUUGCAGAAUUCAGUGAAUCAUCGAAUCUUUGAACGCACAUUGCGCCCUUUGGUAUUCCUUAGGGCAUGCCUGUUCGAGCGUCAUUUGAAACCUCAAGCUCAGCUUGGUGUUGGGUGUCUGUCCCCGCCUCCGCGGGGACUCGCCUCAAAAUCAUUGGCGGCCGGUACGUUGGCUUCGAGCGCAGCAGAAACGCGAACUCGAGGCCCGGCGGAUCGGCGACCAGAAGUCUCUUCUUCACAGUUUGACCUCGGAUCAGGUAGGGAUACCCGCUGAACUUAAGCAUAUCAAUAAGCGGAGA